UACAGAGACGGCAAGCGUUGUUCGGAUUCAUUGGGCGUAAAGGGUCCGCAGGCGGUCGGGUAAGUCGGAUGUGAAAUCUCAUGGCCUAACCAUGAAAGGUCAUUCGAAACUGCUCGGCUCGAGGACUGGAGAGGAGACUAGAAUUGCUGGUGUAGCGGUGAAAUGCGUAGAGAUCAGCAAGAAUACCAGUGGCGAAGGCGGGUCUCUGGACAGUUCCUGACGCUCAGGGACGAAAGCCAAGGGAG
rnacentral:rRNA from 1 species